rnacentral:rRNA from 1 species
UACGGGGGGGGCUAGCGUUGUUCGGAAUUACUGGGCGUAAAGGGCGCGUAGGCGGUCUGCUAAGUUGGAUGUGAAAACUCUGGGCUUAACCCAGAGCCUGCAUUCAAUACUGACAGGCUAGAGUUCUGGAGGGGAUAGCGGAAUUCCUGGUGUAGCGGUGAAAUGCGCAGAUAUCAGGAGGAACACCGGUGGCGAAGGCGGAUCUCUGGGCCUGUUCUGACGCUGAGGCGCGAAAGCUAGGGGAGCGAACAGG